GGAUGCGAUCAUACCAGCACUAAAGCACCGGAUCCCAUCAGAACUUCGAAGUUAAGCGUGCUUGGGCGAGAAUAGUACUAGGAUGGGUGACCUCCUGGGAAGUCCUCGUGUUGCAUUCC
rnacentral:rRNA from 1 species